UAGUCCAGUCUCACCACCAAACAUAGCUUGCUUGAAAAGCAAAUAAAUUGAAACAUUUCUUGCACCUAUAUUUUGACACUAGUCGUCAUUUAGGGAUUUAAAGAGUGCAUGGCUGCCCCUAAGUCUAAAAAACCAAGACUUUCAAAUGUUUCCAAAUCUUGGCACCAAGCACCAACUUAGUCUAGUCUCACCACUAAACAUAGCUUGCUUGAAAAGCAACU
rnacentral:lncRNA from 1 species